GUGGGAGGGUGAGGCUGCAGCGGCCCUACCAGUUCUGUAUUCAGAGAACUUUCUCUGGCUGUUCUUUUAAGGAGUGCAGAGAUAGAAGGGGAGACCAAUCAGGAGGUUCACGAAGUAAUCCAGGAGGAAUGAUUUUGGUGCUGCCUACCCGAGGUUGAGAGCUCAGAUCCAUAAGCCAUCUGGCAACGAGUCUCAAACUUUUGUCAGAGUUACCUGGAGAGCCUGUUACUAUCCUGGGACCUUCUCCAGAUACAGGGAUUCAGCAGGCUUGGUGAAGGAGUCAGGAAUCUGCAUUUCUAACAAGUACCCCAGAUGAUUCUAGAAGAGGUGGUCCACAUGUCCUUCUUUGAGAAAUUCAGGUUUAGAGUAACCAGAGUAAUUUUUCAUGUGUGCUUUCUAAUCAAGGUGAGUAAGUUUCAAACUCUCUUUUCUGUAAUGCCCAUAACAGGGGUAAGCAGGAUUAUAGGAAAAUACAUGCGAACAUACAUAACAAAGCUUUCAUGACCUUUACAAAAUAUAUAUGUUUACUCAUAAUCCAAAUAGGAAAUUCAAAUAACUAGAAUUUUCACUUUACCCUACAUUAAGUGAGGUUCAUUAUGAAAUGAGGCACUGCAAGAUUCUGACUUUCCUCCUGAGUCAUCAGUGAUUAAAUUAAGCUCCCCAGAGUUUUAGCACUAUGAAUAUUUUAUUGUAUUCUUUGAAAACUGGUUAUUUUAAAAUCAGAUUAUAACCCUUAGGUAACUGAAGUAACUAAAUUCAUUAAGACUUAGCUUCA